GAUGAACGCUGGCGGCGUGCCUAAUACAUGCAAGUCGAGCGCACAGACUUGGUACUUGUUCCUAUUAUAUUAGCGGCGGACGGGUGAGUAACACGUGGAUAACCUACCUUUAAGCCUGGGAUAACUUCGGGAAACCAAUGCUAAUACCGGAUAAUAUCUUUAAACGCAUGGUUCAAGAGUGAAAGACGCUAUUGCAGUACCUAAUAGAUGUCUCCCCGUGUAUUUGGCUGUUGGGGAAGUUAACGGUCACCAAGGCGAACAUGGAUAGGCGAACUGGAGGGGGGGUCGGCCAAAAUUGGAACGGAGACACGGCCAAGACCCCUACGGGAGGCACCAGAAGGGAAUCUUGCGCAAGGGCCGAAAGCCUGACGGAGCAACGCCGCGUGAGUGAUGAAGGUCUUCGGAUCGUAAAACUUGGUGAUUAGGGAAGAACAUAGGUGUAAGUAACAGCGCACCACUUGACGGUACCUAAUCAGAAAGCCACGGCUAACUACGUG
rnacentral:rRNA from 1 species